CGCCCACUCUCUUUUUCUCACCGCUUUCACAAGCCUCGAUAAUGAAUGUGAAGUGGUGUUUCGCCGCGCGGCACCGCGUGCUAGAGUACACGAGCCGAGCACCGCGAGUCAAUGAAGAACUCAUAGAAAAACCUUGGUUGGCCCACACAUUUUCUCUGACGUUAUAUAACGACGUCUGCUCGCCUCACUUCCUGGUUGACUGUGUGAAUUUGUCCAAACAUGACCGCGUGUGCUGUGUACAGGUAGAAUAUAUAAAAGGUAUACCAUUUUUUUGUACCUCAUGGCUUCUGUCAGUGACCUGCAAGCUCGACGAGUUGAAAAUAAUAAUACACGCACUCUGUUGAACUCAGAAGGCGUUUAUGAAGCAGCAGAAGAUGAUUCAUCCCAGAUCAUUCUGGAGAACCCCGAUCCUGAUAUCGUUAAAACAAUCUCACAUUAUUUCGAUGUUGCUCUCAGUGGGCAGAAAUAUGUGUUAUCCCAUCCCGUCACAGACCAUGGCGCUGAGUCUUCAGCAGACAGUAGGGAUUCAGGGGACAGCCUGUUCAUAACUCAAGUGCCAGUGUCUGAGGUGGUGAGGUCUGUGAGAAGAUGCCACUCAAAGGAGAGGUCAGAGUUCACAUGUACCAUAGAGUCAGAGGAGGAGAGUGGGGACGAAGAUGGACAUGCCAUUCCCCAAAGGAAGCAGCAGGUCUCACAGGCAAUGAAACAUCACAAGAGGAAAGCAGAGAAGCAUGGCCUGAAAAAGUACUCCUUUCCCUUUCUGGGGAGCAUUUACAGAAGUAAACCCCUAUCUAGUCGAGAGUGGGCUUACAGAAACACACACCUACCACUAUUAAAUAGUGUGACCUUCUCGAGUAAGGCAAUUGGAGGCUUUUUUAGAUGUGUCAAAACACUGAAGAAGUUCUCGAAAGGAAAAGCGACUUUAGCUUCAGCUUUACCAAACAGAUAUCUGGAUAAGGAAGGUGAACUGUCUCCACUGUCAGAGUAAGGUUUCUACAGCUCUACAUUUUGAAAUAAGAAAAGGUUGUAAUUGCUGGAGAUGGUCAGUGCUCUUAAGGUAGAUUUGAGCUAUGAAACGGGGCAGAACACAUUUCUUCCUUUGAGCUUCUUUAUAAUGAUUGUAUAUUUCUGAGGUGUAUAAUGCUGUAUUUUGUUCUAUGGACCUACAGACAGGAGGUGGAAUCUGAAGGUAGUGAUGAUGACAUCAGAGUGGUGGAAAAUACACUUUUAAUGCCAUUCCUGAAAAAGAAAAAUAGUCAAACUUGGUGUAAUCCAUCAUCUGAAGCUGAAAAGCAAUGCAGAAAGUUUUCAUCUGUAAGAAAAGACUCCACCGCCAAGACAAAGAAACGGAGCACAAAGAAAACACGACACCUCCCUCAGGUUAAACAAACUCUUUCCUUGGUUUCCAAAAUGAUUGAAGACACACCAUCAAAGCAGAGUUUUGCUGGGUCACGGCGAAUCGUACCUGAGAAAUGUAACAUGGCAGAAGAAGAGACUAACCCAGAGUCAGUCAGUUGCGUUAGGAGAUGUUCAUCUGGUAGGAGUUUAGUCCGCAAUAAAACAGAAGAACCUGGUAUACAUUUAGCUGACGAUACAGACGGACAGGAAGAGAACGACAACAUGGACAUUUCAUUGACAGAAUGGAAGACAAUGCUGAAUAUCGGAUUUGUCAGUGAGGAAGUAGAGGGGAGUAGAAUAGACCAGGCAGUGGACAUAACGAGUUCACCAAUUAAUGAAGUGCAGGAAAGUGAAGGAAGCUGUUUGGAGAGGACCCAAGGCAGAGCCAUGACCCCCAGUGUGACUGGGCAGCGCCCUGAUCGUGACCAUCAGAACCAGACAAGAGAAACAGAGGCUGAUCCUGGAAUUAAAGGUCACAACCCCCCUUCAACAGAUCCAGCGCUCACGAAUGACUGUACAAAUGUUGAUGCUGGGGGAGACUAUGAACAGAAGGGAAAGAAGAGGAAGAAAAAUAACAGGAAAAGAGAGGGAGGAGAUGAUGAAAGUAUAGAGGACCGAGUUGGGCAGCCUCCAUGCCAAGAAGCUCCAGAUUAUCAGGAACUAGUCACCUGUGUGAGUACAAGCAUCAUACAGGGAGGAGAGGCUACUGAGAUAACCCAGGAUAACAAGGCAGAGCAUUCUGUGUCCGUGUCUGUUGAAAUGAUUAUGCCACAGAAAAAUAAGAGAAAAAAGGAGAGGAGGAGGGAUUCACCAUGCCAUGUUGAUACAGAUAUAUGCCUAAGACAGGAAGAGAACCCCAAGCUAUCAUCCCAUGCUGGAGGUGGUGCUAUAGUUCAGACCGAAGAAAUAGAACUGAAGAAAAUGAAGAAAAAGUAUAAGAAUUCCACAGCACAUGCCAUCCUGGAGGAAGGACCAGAAAAAGGAAAUUUUCUGAAUUUGAGUUUGGAAACACAGUUAGAUGAGGUAAUAGGACCCCAAAAGGGAACAAACAUUUCAACCCUCCCUGAAGAUACUGUCAUAAACCUACAUGUAAAUGCUACUGAUAUAAGACCGAAAACAAUUGAGUGCUCUAUAGUCCAACAUACUAAAUUGGUAGCCCAGAGAAAGAAGCAUAAAACCAUGGCACCAAUAGACAAUUCUUUGGCACAGAGUGACGGCACAAUUUAUUUUAGGAAAAAGAAAAAGGCAAAGAAAGAUGGGGAUUCCUGCAGCAAUGAAAUGGUGGGAAAUUAUACUGAAAUUCCUCUGACUACAAGUACUUCAUCUCAAUCUGGUGAAAUCGAUACACCGGAGAAGAAAAAACGCAAACGAGAUAAGAAACAGAAUUCUGACAUUCAUGAAGAUUCUUUGGCCAGACCCAAAGAGAAUGUUGUGACCCAUGAGAGGUCUGAAGACAAGGUUACGGAGAAGAAGCGGAAGAAGAGGAGGAAAUCUUCAACUGAAGAUGGCGCCGUUGUUCAACAACAACACGAUAAUAUUCAAAAAUUCCAUAUCACCCUCAAGAGUUCUGUUUCUGAAUCCAUUGACACUGCGCCACCAAAAAAAAGGGGAAGAAAGAUGGGGAUGUAGUAACUCCUUUGAGCACAGAGGAGAGACGUCAAAAGGACAGCAUACCACCUGAAACAGAUGAGAUCACUAGCCCAAGAAAGAAGAAGAAAAAGCGAGAUGGGUCUAAAGACACUUGUUCUGUCAUACACCAGGAUACAGCAGCUCCACUGGAAAAAGAGAGUAUUGGCAUAUCUUUGGAGGGGUGUGAGAGUUCUGCUUUGACUCCAGAUGACACAGUUUCUCAGGGAAAAAAUAAGAAAAAUAAGAAUUCCCUCACCAAACAUGAUCCUGGGGGAAGACUGAACAAUUAUGCAACUAAAAUAUCUCAGAGGAUGAACGCAACUGUAAAAAAUUCUAGACCAGAAGAGAAAAAAGAGAUAGAUACAGCUGAAGUGAGACUUGAAGCUGAAAGUGCCUUUAUAUCCUCAGAGAGAAAGAGGAAAAAGACAAAGAGGAGGAAAUCCACUGAUUACGAAGUACCAGCGGUAGGACAUCAAGAUAAUGAUAACACUGCAAUACUAAUUGAAACGACCCAGAGUUCUAUGACCCACUACACAGAAACAGAGUCGAAGAAGAAGAAGAAGAAGAAGAAAAUAAAUGAUAACACUGCAAUGCUAAUUGAAAUGACCCAGAGUUCUAUGACCCACUACACAGAAACCGAGUCACAGAAGAAGAAGAAGAAGAAGAAGAAGAAAAUAAAUGAUAACACUGCAAUGCUAAUUGAAACGACCCAGAGUUCUAUGACCCAAUACACAGAAACAGAGUCACAGAAGAGGAAGAAGAAGAAGUAGAAAAACGAACAAGGAAUCAGUUGCCCCGAAGCGCACAGAUGGAAGACAGACCGGGGAGAUGUCAGAGGCGACGUCAGGCUGUCUGCCUUUACCACAGAUUAAUCCUGAUCCUGUAUCAAUCUCCCAUGAACUGGUUUCAUCAGCAGAGAAGAAAAAGAAGCAUGGAAAAGACAAGAGGAUGAUGUAUGUAUGAUGCAUAUCAGGAUUACCUCGCAACCGAACACAUUGACACAGUGGUGAUGUCAUGAAGCAUUUCAUCUGAAUAAAACAACCCAUAGCUUGGAGAGGAUUUUUGAUGGGUGACCUUUGGUUAUAAGUGAACAGAUUUUUAAAUGAGUAGAUUCAUUGUACACCACCUCUAUGAUGGUUGUUCUUGUAUGCGCAUUCAGAUGAUCAAUGAACAUAUUCAGAUGAUAAAUGUGCAUGCAUAGGCUAGUCAGAUAAACAGUGAACGUUUUCAGUGUUAAGUUACCACUAAAUGGUGUUUUGUGAAGAAUAUUUUUUAUCCUACCCUGUCACCUAGUGGACAACUUAAGACAACACACUGGUUUUACUCAAACUGGUUUUAUUGCAGUAUAAGUGACAUGUUUAUAACUUGGAUUCUACUGUCAUGAUGUUUCAUUAGUCCUCCAUAUAAUGUAUGCCAGUGACGCAUGAGAAAGUGGUUGUGUACAUUUGAUAAGAUUUGUUUCUUGUUCAGUUUUGAAAUAGAUUACAUUUCUAAUGUAAUUCCCUUCAGUAAGGGACAUUGAUGCAAUAUCCUUUGUGUGCAGUGCAUCAUAUGAAAGUCUAAACAUUGUCUCCACAACCAUUAUAGUUAUAGUAAUAAUUUUUAUAUUGGCUCCAUACAAGUGUAGUUGUAAGUAUGACUGUCUAUUGAAGGAUGCACAAUAAAUGUACAGUUUAUCAAUG